rnacentral:rRNA from 1 species
UACGAAGGGGGCUAGCGUUGCUCGGAGUCACUGGGCGUAAAGGGUGCGUAGGCGGGUCUUUAAGUCAGGGGUGAAAUCCUGGAGCUCAACUCCAGAACUGCCUUUGAUACUGAAGAUCUUGAGUUCGGGAGAGGUGAGUGGAACUGCGAGUGUAGAGGUGAAAUUCGUAGAUAUUCGCAAGAACACCAGUGGCGAAGGCGGCUCACUGGCCCGGUACUGACGCUGAGGUGCGAAAGCGUGGGGAGCAAACAGG